rnacentral:rRNA from 1 species
UACGUAGGGGGCAAGCGUUGUCCGGAUUCAUUGGGCGUAAAGAGCGUGUAGGCGGCCAGGUAGGUCGGUUGUGAAAACUGGAGGCUCAACCUUCAGAGGUCGACCGAAACCAUCUGGCUAGAGUCCGGGAGAGGAGAGUGGAAUUCCUGGUGUAGCGGUGAAAUGCGCAGAUAUCAGGAAGAACACCCGUGGCGAAGGCGGUUGCCUGGAGCUUUGCUGACGCUGACGCGCGAAAGCGUGGGGAGCGAUCCGG